AGGACGAACGCUGGCGGCGUGCUUAACACAUGCAAGUCGAGCGGAAAGGCCCUUCGGGGUACUCGAGCGGCGAACGGGUGAGUAACACGUGAGCAACCUGCCCCUGGCUCUGGGAUAGCCUCCGGAAACGGGGAUUAAUACCGGAUAUUCACUGUCUCCUGCAUGGGGGGUGGUGGAAAGUUUUCGGCUAGGGCGGGGCUCGCGGCCUAUCAGCUUGUUGGGGGGUGACGGCCCACCAAGGCGACGACGGGUAG
rnacentral:rRNA from 1 species